UUCUUUUCUUUUCUUCUAUUUUCCAUUUUGGUUCUUCCUCAAAAUCCCACAAAGGAGAAUUAGUUGAAAUAGGCUAGAGCUAAAACAAGAAAGUGAGCAAUUUGACCAUAGAGAUUUGUGUUUGGUAUGUUGUCUUUCUUUUUCAACUAAAAUUAUUACACGUAUAUAGAUGUGAAUGCAUUAAAUUGAUUCCCCAGCCAUUACAACUCAGAAAUCAGAAUAUUGUAAAAUCAAGGAGAAAUUGGAAGGACAAAAG
rnacentral:misc_RNA from 1 species